rnacentral:rRNA from 1 species
UACGGAAGGCAGCAGUGGGGAAUAUUGCACAAUGGGCGCAAGCCUGAUGCAGCCAUGCCGCGUGUAUGAAGAAGGCCUUCGGGUUGUAAAGUACUUUCAGCGGGGAGGAAGGCGAUGCGGUUAAUAACCGCGUCGAUUGACGUUACCCGCAGAAGAAGCACCGGCUAACUCCGUGCCAGCAGCCGCGGUAAUACGGAGGGUGCAAGCGUUAAUCGGAAUUACUGGGCGUAAAGCGCACGCAGGCGGUCUGUUAAGUCAGAUGUGAAAUCCCCGGGCUUAACCUGGGAACUGCAUUUUGAACUGGCAGGCUUGAGUCUUGUAGAGGGGGUAGAAUUCCAGGUGUAGCGGUGAAAUGCGUAGAGAUCUGGAGGAAUCCGGUGGCGAAGGCGGCCCCUGGGACAAAGCUGACGCUCAGGUGCGAAAGCGUGGGGAGCAAACGAGGAUUAGGAUACC